CGAUAAUAAAUACGAAAAUACCGGGGGGUCUAUAGCUGAAGAAAUCCUACAAAAUGAGAUUUAGGGGAAAGGAAAGCGCCCCUCGCUCCCUUCCCCUUCCGCAAGUUCAACUCGAAAUCCCAAUGGCCUCCAAAGCUUUCUAUCUCCUCCAUUUUCUCUCUCCUCCUCCUUCAAUGCUGGGUCUGAUUAGCGGUCGGUUCGAAGUCGGCGACUAAUUCGAAUCUAGAAAGAAUAUCAUCGCCAUGACGAUAACCAAAUCCUCGACUUUCUGGCACAGGGAUUCAUUCCAAAUAUAACAGAUGUUCAGUGAAGCAGUUCCUUGUGUUGCUGAUAUAAAGAAGCAUUUGGAUUGGGAGGUAUUGGAAAAAGUACAGAGAAAAGUUUGUUCAUUGGAGCAAAAGGGGUGAUGCUUCUAGGAUUAUCUGAUGGAAUUUUUGACGAGCAAAGGGAAGAUUAUCCUCAACCUCCAGGAGAAAUGGUUCACCACAAUCUGAAAACUCUAAAGAUUACAGGGUGCAAAGGCUGUGGUGAAGCAUUGCGAAGAAUGAAGUUUUUGUUGCAGAGUGUUGUUGCUCUAAAUAAAUUUAUGGUUGACAUUUCUAAGGAUGUAAAACCAUGGACAGUAGAGGACAUCCAAGCAAUAUCCCAAGCUCCUUAGAACUUGUCACAAAUGAAGCUGGCUGAAUUACGGAGUUGACGACAUAACUGUCUUGAUCUUGAGCUGGGAGCAGCCCCGAAAAUCCUAGCCUACUCAAAAUGAGUUUGAAUAUGAACGUCUACAACACAAAAAUUCAUGUUGUUUGCCUACUGAUCUGAUCAUAACAACUUGCGGAUCUCUACCCUUCAUUUUAAGACAAGAAAACUCUUCUCUCGAAUUAGAUGAUGGAGAAACUGUUGUAAAAGGCUACUCUCCUGAUACGACAUGUUUUUCGAACCAGUAGGGAAUCGAUUCGUGUCUAUAAUCUGACAGAAUGGUCUAGGAAAAGUUGUCAAUCUGUUGUUUGAAGUGUUACACACAUGAAAGGAACAACAAUUCAAGAUUCUCAGGUUAAUAUCAGCACUGUCAGUGAUCAUAUAAUGACACCCAUUAUGAGACCAUGAGAUUCAUGGAGUUAUGGUUCUUGGUGUUGAUUAAAACUUGAUUGACUUUGAUAACCGCAACCAUAUACAAUUUGGGAGUUUGCCGAGUUUUGAUGAUCAAAAUCUUUCUCCCUUUGAUCUUAUUUUAGAAAUGAUAUUGAUAGGAGAGGAGACAGUGAGUAGCAAUAAACACUUGUAUAUUUGUUUAGACUUUUCAUACAAGUCCAGCGU